ACAGCCACAUCACAUUGAGGCACCAGUUUCUAUAUGAUCACUAAAGUUAAGUAACAUUGAGCUUGGUCAGUAUCUAGAUGAGUGACCCCUUGGGAAUACCAGGUGUGGUA